rnacentral:rRNA from 1 species
UACAGAGGUCCCGAGCGUUGUUCGGAUUUAUUGGGCGUAAAGAGCGUGUAGGCGGCCAAACAGGUCAGCUGUGAAAACUCGAGGCUCAACCUCGAGACGUCGGUUGAAACCGUUUGGCUAGAGUCCGGAAGAGGAGAGUGGAAUUCCCGGUGUAGCGGUGAAAUGCGCAGAUAUCGGGAGGAACACCAGUGGCGAAGGCGGCGACCUGGACGGACACUGACGCUGAGACGCGAAAGCGUGGGGAGCAAACAGG